rnacentral:lncRNA from 1 species
CGGCGAAGGCAGAGCUCGCCGCCGAGCUCGCCAAGUACGCGGCAGAGGCUGGAGGGCUUAAACUGCUUGCCUGAAGUGAUGAAUCAUAUCACGAUUUGCCUGGAAUUUCUUACCUGGUGACGUUAUGUCGUGCCCAAGUAACGGAGAAAGAGUCGAGAUCUCAUGACAAAAUCGCUGAAUCUCUGUCCAAACUUUGUUCUACUACCAUUGCUUGAUCGCGUUCUACUUACUAUAUUAGUCUUGAACUGCU